rnacentral:rRNA from 1 species
GUGAGGAAUAUUGGACAAUGGGCGCAAGCCUGAACCAGCCAAGUCGCGUGAAGGAAGAAGGAUCUAUGGUUCGUAAACUUCUUUUGCAGGGGAAUAAAGUGCAGGACGUGUCCUGUUUUGUAUGUACCCUGAGAAUAAGGAUCGGCUAACUCCGUGCCAGCAGCCGCGGUAAUACGGAGGAUCCGAGCGUUAUCCGGAUUUAUUGGGUUUAAAGGGUGCGUAGGUGGUUUGAUAAGUCAGCGGUGAAAGUUUGCAGCUUAACUGUAAAAAUGCCGUUGAAACUGUCGGACUUGAGUGUAAAUGAGGUAGGCGGAAUGCGUGGUGUAGCGGUGAAAUGCAUAGAUAUCACGCAGAACUCCGAUUGCGAAGGCAGCUUACUAAGCUACAACUGACACUGAAGCACGAAAGCGUGGGGAUCAAACAGGAUUAGAUACCCGGGUAGUCC